rfam:Triticum aestivum genome assembly, contig: Triticum_aestivum_CS42_TGACv1_scaffold_131201_2BL
GAAAUACUCCCUCCGUCCAAAAAAGUUUGUCCCAAAGUUGUUCCUCAGAUGGAUGUAUCUAGCACUAGCUUGAUGCUGGAUACAUCCAUUUGAGGGACAAGCUUUUUCGGACGGAGGGAAUAUAUU